UACGUAGGGGGCAAGCGUUGUCCGGAAUCAUUGGGCGUAAAGAGCGUGUAGGCGGCCCGAUAAGUCCGCUGUGAAAGUCCAGGGCUCAACCCUGGGAUGCCGGUGGAUACUGUCGGGCUAGAGUCCGGAAGAGGCGAGUGGAAUUCCCGGUGUAGCGGUGAAAUGCGCAGAUAUCGGGAGGAACACCAAUGGCGAAGGCAGCUCGCUGGGACGGUACUGACGCUGAGGAGCGAAAGCAUGGGGAGCGAACAGG
rnacentral:rRNA from 1 species